rnacentral:rRNA from 1 species
UACGGAGGGAGCUAGCGUUGUUCGGAAUUACUGGGCGUAAAGCGCACGUAGGCGGUUUUUUAAGUCAGGGGUGAAAUCCCGGGGCUCAACCCCGGAACUGCCCUUGAAACUGGAAAGCUAGAAUCUUGGAGAGGCGAGUGGAAUUCCGAGUGUAGAGGUGAAAUUCGUAGAUAUUCGGAAGAACACCAGUGGCGAAGGCGACUCGCUGGACAAGUAUUGACGCUGAGGUGCGAAAGCGUGGGGAGCAAACAGG